CCCCACUGCAAGGGACAAAGAAACAUCUCAUUGGUGCUAUUGUUCCUAUAUGAGUCAGGGAAGAGCAGAUGUCUUUGUUUUUCCUAGCUUGAUGCCUGGCUUGGUGACCAAAGCUGUCUUAUGCCUAGGACUCAUAA